rnacentral:tRNA from 1 species
UCAGUGGUGGUUCAGAGGUAGAAUUCUUGCCUUCUGUGCAGGAGAACCGGUUCAAUUCCCCGCCAAUGCA